AGUGAACGCUGGCGGCAGGCCUAAUACAUGCAAGUCGAACGGCAGCACAGCAGAGCUUGCUCUGUGGGUGGCGAGUGGCGGACGGGUGAGGAAUACGUGGGAAUCUGCCCAGUCGUGGGGAUAACGUAGGGAAACUUACGCUAAUACCGCAUGCGCCCUUCGGGGAAAGCCAGGGACCUUCGGGCCUGGCGCGAUUGGAUGAGCCCACGUCGGAUUAGCUAGUUGGCGGGGUAAAGGCCCACCAAGGCGACGAUCCGUAGCUGGUCUGAGAGGAUGAUCAGCCACACUGGAACUGAGACACGGUCCAGACUCCUACGGGAGGCAGCAGUAGGGAAUAUUGGACAAUGGGCGCAAGCCUGAUCCAGCCAUGCCGCGUGAGUGAAGAAGGCCCUCGGGUUGUAAAGCUCUUUGUCCGGAAAGAAAGCGCCGGGUUAAUACCCUGGUGUCCUGACGGUACCGGAAGAAUAAGCACCGGCUAACUUCGUGCCAGCAGCCGCGGUAAU
rnacentral:rRNA from 1 species